rnacentral:rRNA from 1 species
UACGUACCGUCCAAACGUUAUUCGGAAUCACUGGGCUUAAAGAGUUCGUAGGCGGCUCAGAAAGUUGGGUGUGAAAUCCCUCGGCUCAACCGAGGAAUUGCGCUCAAAACUACUGGGCUAGAGGGAGAUAGAGGUGAGCGGAACUGAUGGUGGAGCGGUGAAAUGCGUUGAUAUCGGAAGGAACGCCAGAGGCGAAAGCGACACACUGGGUCUCAACUGACGCUGAGGCACGAAAGCCAGGGGAGCAAACGGG